rnacentral:rRNA from 1 species
CGGAGGGUGCAAGCGUUGUCCGGAUUUAUUGGGUUUAAAGGGUGCGUAGGCGGCUUAUUAAGUCAGGGGUGAAAGACUAUUGCUUAACAAUGGCAGUGCCUUUGAUACUGAUAGGCUUGAGUACAGCUGAGGCAGAUGGAACGGUGGUGUAGCGGUGAAAUGCAUAGAUACCAUCCAGAACACCGAUGCGAAGGCAGUCUGCUAAACUGUAACUGACGCUGAGGCACGAAAGCGUGGGAUCGAACAGGAUU